CAGCCGCCGCGGUAAUACAGAGGGUGCGAGCGUUAAUCGGAUUUACUGGGCGUAAAGCGUGCGUAGGCGGCUUCUUAAGUCGGAUGUGAAAUCCCUGAGCUUAACUUAGGAAUUGCAUUCGAUACUGGGAAGCUAGAGUAUGGGAGAGGAUGGUAGAAUUCCAGGUGUAGCGGUGAAAUGCGUAGAGAUCUGGAGGAAUACCGAUGGCGAAGGCAGCCAUCUGGCCUAAUACUGACGCUGAGGUACGAAAGCAUGGGGAGCAAACAGGAUUAGAUACCCCGGUAGUCCCUGUCUCUUAUAU
rnacentral:rRNA from 1 species